CUUUUGCAUCAUGACUUAGCCAGCACCACUCAAGCAAAGAGAMCUUUAGUUUGRWCCCCCGAAACUARGYGAGCUACUCCAAGWCAGCCUAWUWAWAGGGCMMACCCGUCUCUGUGGCAAAAGAGUGGGAAGAGCUUUGAGUAGAGGUGACAGACCUACCGAGCUUAGUUAUAGCUGGUUCCCUGGGAAAUGGAUAGGAGUUCAGCCUUCUAAGUUCUUCACUCCAACCCUUCAACAAGGUGAAAAGAAAUCAGAAGAGUUAAUCAAGGGGGGUACAGCCCCCUUGAAAAAAGAUACAACUUUAGCAGAAGGAUAAAGAUCAUACGAAAUUUAAAGGAGAGUCCUCUUGGUGGGCCUAAAAGCAGCCACCCCAACAGAAAGCGUUAAAGCUCAAAUGCGGAACACCCUAUAUAUUCUGACAACCUAAUCUUAAUCCUCUAAUACUACCAGGAAGCCCUAUGCGAGCAUAGGAAUUAUACUGCUAAUAUGAGUAAUAAGAGAACAUAAGAUUCUCUCCUAGCACAAGUGUAAAUCGGAACGAACCCCCACCGAAAAUUGACGGCCCCAAGAAAAGAGGGAACUGGAUGAAAAAUAAAAAACUAGAAGAACACCCAACAAUUAACCGUUAACCUCACACUAGAGUGCUGCCAAGGAAAGACUAAAAGGGGAAGAAGGAACUCGGCAAACACACCCAAGCCUCGCCUGUUUACCAAAAACAUCGCCUCUUGUACCUAAUAAAUAAGAGGUCCUGCCUGCCCUGUGACAAUUAGUUCAACGGCCGCGGUAUUUUGACCGUGCGAAGGUAGCGCAAUCACUUGUC
rnacentral:rRNA from 1 species